UGGGGAAUAUUGCACAAUGGGGGCAACCCUGAUCCAGCCAUGCCGCGUGUGUGAAGAAGGCCUUUUGGUUGUAAAGCACUUUAAGCAGUGAAGAAGACUCCAUGGUUAAUACCCAUGGACGAUGACAUUAGCUGCAGAAUAAGCACCGGCUAACUCUGUG
rnacentral:rRNA from 1 species